UACGGAGGGGGCUAGCGUUGUUCGGAAUUACUGGGCGUAAAGGGCGCGUAGGCGGCGCGAUAAGUUGGGCGUGAAAGGCCCGGGCUCAACCCGGGGACUGCGCUUGAUACUGUCGCGCUGUGAGUCCGGGAGAGGAUGGCGGAAUUCCCAGUGUAGAGGUGAAAUUCGUAGAUAUUGGGAAGAACACCAGUGGCGAAGGCGGCUCACUGGCCCGGUACUGACGCUGAGGCGCGAAAGCGUGGGGAGCAAACAGG
rnacentral:rRNA from 1 species